GUGUGUUUCGGGUCGUUGUCAUGCUGGAAGACCCAGCCACGACCCAUCUUCAAUGCACUUACUGAGGGAAGGAGGACAGGUGCACUAUAACACAAGACAGUCCAGGGAUAUGUUUGUGUGUAGAUGGGACUUGGGGCCAUGGCAGCUAGUAGGCUGGCAACAAGGACCGAUGAGGCUGCGGGGGGAGGAAGGCGUGGCCACGGGCAGAACUGCAACUAUUAUUUAAUAUAAAUUGCAUAAUUAUCCCUUAAAAUGUUUCUCUUUAACCUUUCAAGCCAUUCAUAGGUUUCACAUGUUUUAGCUAUUCCAACAUUACUCCUGGAAAUGUUUUUUUUGUGGUUUCUUUAGUUGGCUGCUUAUUUUAUGAAUCAGGUGGAGGAGCUGGAGCUACAUAAGGACAUGAUCAGCCAGUUGGUGCGAGCACAGGACAACUUCCCAGAGAAUGCCUACCGCAGGAUCCUCCUGUAUAAAGACACCCUGCUUCGACCUCUAGAGGACUUCAUGGCGGACCAUGAUUCACUGCACCUGUUUGAGCUGGAUGGCAAUAAAAACACUGAGGAGCUAUUCAUGUCGGUGGUGUCCCGCCUGGAGUCCAUGUCAGUGCGUAGGGCCGCUGUCCCUAUUCGGCUUCUCCCGAUGGACGAGUAUUAUGACAUUGAUCCGGAGGAGCUGUUGCCCACCCUUUGCUCCUGUAAGACGGUGGUCCCUGGUUUCAAGUGGAGGAGGAGCCGCUGGGGUAGAGCCUGUCCUGUAGCCCUGAAGGAAGGCAAGAUGGUCAAGGGCAGACCUGAGUUCUCUGUGGGGUUUCUGGAUAAAGUCUAUGUCCUGUCGUCCAGUGAGGCCUAUGGGAAGUUCAUGCUGAAUCCACGGCGUUACCUCCUGCCCCCCAUGCCGCGGCCACCCUGUAAGGUAUCUGUGAUUGGCCCUCCGUGCUCGGGGAAGACCACGCUGUGUGCCCUAUUGGCCCAGCACUACGGAGCUGUGGUGGUGGAUGUAGAGGUCUUGAUGAAGCCCGUCCUUGCCAAAGUCAAUCAGGACAUGUUGGAGAGGGUCAGGAGAGAAACCACACUCAUGGCCAUCAAUAUGGUCAAGGCCCAGAUGGAUCUGGACGCCACACACCAAUCCAUAAACACGAGAUCCAAUAUCAAUGAGGAGGAUGAUGAAAAUGAUUCAGAGACAACCACAAGUCACUCCUCCAACAGUGAUGAAGUUAUGGUGACAGCAGAUCACCCAGAUGUUCUAGCCAUUGUAAACAAGGCUUUAAAGGAGACGCUGCAGGUUGAAACCCCGCCUUUGGACCUGUACGCAGACGUGCUGGAGAAACACAUCAGGGAGAUUGAGAUGGCCGAUGCAGACUCAGACUCAAAGAGGGGGUGGGUGCUGGACAACUUCCCCAGGAACAGUUCACAGUGGGCCACUAUUCAGGAUCUGCAUGUUGAGAUUGUACCCGAUAUCCUGUUCUCCCUGAAAGACAGCAAUGGGGAAGGUGGCGUCGUUUUGAAGAGGAUGUAUGAACGGAACAGGGAGGAGGUUGAUGCGUUGAUAAUCAAGAGGCUUGAACUAGGGCAGAAACAGGAGGCUCUGGAUACCUUAAACCCUACGCAACGGCACACAGAAGAGGAGCUUACAGAUCCCCAGGACAAACUGGAGGCAGUGCAAGAGGAGGCAGAGGACGUGACUCUGCCUGCAGUGUGGGAUAAGGGUUAUCCAGACGGUCCGGAGAUGGACCCUUUUAAGCAGCAGUUGAAGCAGUUCGUAGUGGACUGGCAGCACAUGUCUUCCACUUACACUGGAAGCCACAGCAUACUGGAGGUCCCUGGCAAGACUCCUCAGGAUCUCCUCCAGGAGAUGGUCAUGCAGUUGGAGAAGCCCUUUAAGUACGCUAGCUGGGAGGUCUCUGGAGUAGAGCUGCAGGAGGAAGAGGAGGAUGCUCAAGCUAUGGCUGAACUGGAGAAACCAGAGGAUCCUGAGGAAGAAGGGGAGCAGGAAACAGAGGAGGAGACGGGGUUUAGGAGGGGGUUGGGUGACACACAACAUUUCUGUCCCAUUGCCCUGAAGGACAACGGAGUGCUGAUCCCUUGUCUGGAUGACUAUGCUGCCAGGUACAGAGAGAAGACCUACUACUUCUCCAGUACUGAGGCCAGGGACCGCUUUCUGCUGAGCCCCGAGGAAUACGUCUCCCACACCCAACUGUUACAGGUUCCAGCUCCGAGGAUCUUCAUGCUGGGCGUAAGGGGCUCCGGUAAGACCGAGCACGGGAAGUGGCUGGCCGGGCAGCUGGGGGUGUUCCACAUCCAGUACAGGGAACUUCUCCAGGAGAGGCUCCUGCCCAAGACCCAGGCCCGUGUGCCCUACACUGAUGAGGUGGAGCCCCCCGAGGAGCCCCCGGUGGACCUGGACACCCUGCUGCUGCAAACACAGCAAAGUCAAAGCAGCACGGCACACUCUGCUGAUAACCAGGGGCAACACAGCGAGGAGGGCAGGUCCCCAGUGGAAGCCCCUGCAGCAGAGCUGGAGGUGGAGCUGAGCAACAACGAGGAGGCCAUUAAAUCCUAUCUGUAUGAUGGAGUACCUCUGCCUCAGGAUAUAAUGGAGAUGAUGCUGGCACGGUUCUGGCACCAGGAGCCAUACAAGUCUAAAGGAUUCAUCCUAGAGGGAUUCCCCCAGAACCCAGAGGAAGUCGCCUUCAUGGUGGAACAACGGCUGUACCCGGACACCGCCGUGGUCAUGGCGGUGGACGUGAGGGAUGUCGUCCAGCGCCUGCUGCCCCCCCGCCUGGCCGGCUGGAGGGAACGCCGCAACCGCAGGAGAGAACAGAUGAGUCAAGUCAGAGAGCUCCGCCACAAAAUCUGGGAGAAAGACAUCGCCCAGAUGAAAGCUGAGCUUAUGAAAGAGUUCUUCAUAAAUCCACCAGCUGUCAAGGUGAAGGACGAAGACAACGAUGAUGAGGAGGAUCAGGAGUUCAACGAGGGGAUGGAGAAGAUUGAGGCCAUGCUGAGGGAGGAGUUACCCCCGGACCAGGAGGAUGACGGGAAGGAUGAGGAAACAGAUGCGGCCGCCGAGGACAGGCUCGAGAUGGAGAUCGGGGUGCGCUUUGAGGCGGAUGAGGCUCGCCUCAACAUGAUCACGGAUCUCCUGAAUGACAACCGGAUCCCCAAGCUGUCCAUCAACGCUGGCCGUAAGCCCAGGAAUGUGCGCUCUCAGCUCCUGUUUAAAGUCCAGCCCCUGGUGACCAACAGGGAGGCUCAUUUCCACAAAGGCCAAACCAUCAGCUACGCUACUGCCCGCAAGAUGCUCAGCAACUCUUACAAGUACAACAGCUCCUUUGGCUGGUGGGACCCUGUCAAGUUUAUGGAGGGAGAUCUGAUCCAGCCAAUGCAAGGUCCCUGGAACCCCACCUUUCCCGUGCUCCUCCACCAGUUCAUCUACUUCUUUACCUCCAAGGAGACAAGGGACACCUUCCUUAUCAACCCCAUCAAGUACCUGAAGCAGCCCAAACCCAACCCUUCCCUGCCAAUCAAACUGGCCAUUAUCGGCCCCCCAAAGUCAGGCAAAACCACAGUGGCGACCAAGUUUGCCCGUGAGUAUGGCCUGGCCCAUUUGUCCAUCGAGGACGUGAUGCAGACAGUGCUGGCCAGCCAGGGAAAGACAGAGCUGGCUGGUCAGAUGUUCAAGCACCUCUCGCAGGGCCAAACGGUGCCAGACCAACUGGUCAUCCAGUGCCUGGAGGUGGCCCUCAUGAAUCUGGUCUGCAGCACCAGAGGGUACGUCUUGGACGGCUUCCCUGUGACGCGCAGUCAGGCCGAUCUCAUGGAGGCUCGGGGCAUCAUCCCGAUGCGCGUUGUGGAGUUACAGUUGGACACAGUGGAGGUGCUAAAGCGAGGCCUCAUUGAUAAGAUGAACCCUGACAGACCAUACCUGAUGCACGACAGCCCCCAGAUCCUGAACAUCCGUAACUCCAACUUCAGGCGUGAGGCUGAGAGGGUGAGGGAGCUCUAUCAGCAUCAGUACCAGAACUGGGUCUCUGUGGACGGAUACAAAUCCAAGUGGUGGGUCUGGAACCGAGUCCUGGAAGAGACCAGCUUGAGCAUGAGGCACAUCCAAACCUACCUGCAGAGAAUACGCACUGGCCAUGCGGCCAGCAUUGACAGGCUGUGCAUCACCCCGAUGGAGCUGCGGUCUAGGCUUGGUGAGUUUGGUCAGUACUGCCCUAUCAGCCUUGCCCUCCAUCGCCACCUGGUGGACUGCUCUCUCACAACAUCCCUGGAGCUAGCUGCAGAGUUUAGGGGACCCUACUACAAGAUGUGCUCUCGGGAGCACCUGGAGCUGUUCCUGAAGAAUCCAGAGAAGUUUGUGAUCCCUUUGUGCCCUCACCGUCUCCCCCCAGUCUGCAUGCUGCCCAAGAAGAUGACAGCCAGCCAGGUGAAGGCCAGGUUUCCCCAGCAAGUCGAGAUGAAGGGCUUUUGCCCGGUCACAUACCUGGACGGAAGGCAGAGGUAUGAGGCCCUUGUUCGUGGAAGCAUCGAGUAUGCUGUGGAAUACCAAGAACGGAUCUACAUUUUUCAGAAUGAACAGAAACAGGACCUGUUUCUCAGGUCACCUGAAACCUAUUCCAACCAGAAGCUGCCUGACAAACUGCCUCCUAUGAGUGAACCGGUUCAGCUCACCUCCUUGCCCAUGCUGGGCUACAUGGAACAGGGUAUGGCGGAACCGCUCAUCAAGGCUCUGACGGCCGUCGGAUGUCUCAAACCGAAGUUCCCCUAUCUCAGUAUGAAAAGAUCAGCUCUCCAAUAUGUUGCAUAUUAUUUGAAAGCCUUCAACCCCAGGAACUCAAGCUACAUCCGUCAGAUGUACAAGAAGAAACUGGCAUCGUUUGAGGAGAAUUGUGAGCUCAUCCCCUACCUGGGCUCCGCUAUUACCAGGAUGAAAGAAAAUCAUCAGGAGCAUGCCAUAGACUUUGAAUUUAAGCUGCAGAAAUUUCUGGCAUUUGGAGAGUCUUCCUCUGGUUUAGGAGACCUAUAGAACCUCUUCUAAAAUAGAGUUAAAUUAUUCUAGUCCUUUUAAACUGCUAUGAAAACAUUUAAUCUGCGAUGAAACCUUUAUUUCUUGUUUAAACACCAUUUGUGAAGUGUGGAUUUUCUAAGGACUUACAAAACAUUCAUCAGUAAUGUUACUUUUUAAACGAAUACAUUGUUUAAAGGGGUUGUCAUACAUUUUACAUGUGGCUUUAUUUCCACCCUUUCUGGGCUGGUAGGUGAUACACCGUUCAUCCUUCCCCAAUCCUGACCAGUCCCUGUCACUGAGAAGCAUCCCCAUACCAUCAACCAUGCUUCACCUUAGGGAUGGUAUUAGCCAAGUGAUGAGCACUACCUUAUCUUUCAAAUAUGUAGCACUUUAAAUUUGCCACAGUUCUAGAGACAUCUCAAGAAUGUAUCAAAGGACAUAGGAUGCAUCAGAACUCAUUGUGGAUCAAACUUGUCGGUCCAGCACAUCCCACAAAUGCUCAAUUGGAGUGAAAUCUGGGAAAUUUGGAAGCCAUAUUCCUCAAGCCAUUCCCAAACAAUGUGUGCACAGUGGCAGGGUGCCUUAUCCUAAUGAAAGAGGUCACUGUCAUCAGGGAAUACCAUUUCCAUGAAGGGGAGUACCUAGUCUGCGAUGAUGUUUAGGUAGGUGGCACGCGUCAAAUUGAUGUCCACAAGAAAGUUGGGACUCAGGAUUUCCCAGCAGAACAUGGACCGGAGCGUCCUUCACUGGAGUGUCUUUCACUUGUGAUGGCAAUUUCUAAAGUCCAAACAAUUUACGAAAAUGUACAUCCUGGUGCCAUAACUUUCCCAGUUGGAGAGCGUACACGUACAUGGGCAUCCACGUGAUGGAAAAGAAAACAGGACUCAUCGGACCUGGCGUCCUUCCACUACUCCAAGGUCCAGUUCCAAUGCUCGCAUACCCAUUGUAGGUGCUUUCAACGGUGGUGCAGUGGUCAUCAUUCCAGUCAAUAUUUGCCAGUUAGGGGUGUAACUAUUCCCCAAAUCCUCAAUUCGAUUUGACUUUCAAUUGUUAGGUCAUAAUUUGACUAGAUUUUCAAAUAUCAACCUUUUUUUCAGUUCUGACUACAUUGCUGUUAAGACUAUUGGCCCUGUUUUGUAAAAACAACAACAAAAAACUGUUAUUUAAACACAAUGUAAAAAUAAGAAAAAUAUAAAUUUACUUGAACUUGAACAACUCUCAAAAAUAGAACAGUAUCAACUAUGUCCAGCACCUUUUGCCUAUUUUGAUAUAUUUAUUUACACCUUUUUAUUCAAUAAGGUAUAUCUGCAGACUGCAAGUUGGGGGCGUUA